CAGCUAGAGAUAAAGGAGAUUGAUCAUGAGGCCCCUCAGCAUAUUCCUGCUGCUCUCCAUGGCUCUGUGCUGCUUCUUGGAUACUAUUCAAGCUGAGUUACCAAGAAAGGAAAUCUGGACGUGACAUCCGCAUCAAAAAAGAGGAGCUAUGCUGAGGAAUCAAUAUAUCCUAG